AACAAGCAGACAAACUCACAAGAGUUUCUAUUUUCUUCUAGAACCAAAAAAAGAACCAGUGAAGUUUAUUAAGGAAAGGUCAGCCUUGUGUUUAAUACAAAUAAAUUGGGAAUGGUAUGGAGGACAAACUGAGAAAUGGAGAGUGGAAGCCAUGGGAUCAAUUAGUAGAAUCUUUCUCCAGAUCAGUGAAGAUACAGAUGUCACAUCAGCUUUCCCAGUCAUCGUUUCAAUAUAUCAUAGGGUGGCAUAAGAAACUGAAUGGGAAUUUUGGAAGAGAUUUGCAGAAGCUGCAGACAAAAAAUAAAGUCAGGAUUCAACAUGGAACGUUUAGGAACUCAGAUAUGCCUAAAAUAUGGGUAUAACACCAGCAGGUUUUCUUUUAAUAUUAUAAAUAUGCAUGAUUUCCUUUUUUAAAGUUAAAAUAAGGAAAAAAAUUAAAGUUUGUGAAAAGAGCAUUAAAGCCAGCAGAUGACACACAAAGGGUAGGAAUAUUAACAUUGAUCUGUGUAUAGCCUAUGACAAAAUACUUAUUCCAAAAUUUAUAAUAAGGUAAUGUAAAUACCCCUUA
rnacentral:lncRNA from 1 species